rnacentral:rRNA from 1 species
AGUGAACGCUGGCGGUAGGCCUAACACAUGCAAGUCGAACGGCAGCACAGGAGAGCUUGCUCUCUGGGUGGCGAGUGGCGGACGGGUGAGGAAUACAUCGGAAUCUACUUUUUCGUGGGGGAUAACGUAGGGAAACUUACGCUAAUACCGCAUACGACCUACGGGUGAAAGCAGGGGAUCUUCGGACCUUGCGCGAUUGAAUGAGCCGAUGUCGGAUUAGCUAGUUGGCGGGGUAAAGGCCCACCAAGGCGACGAUCCGUAGCUGGUCUGAGAGGAUGAUCCGCCACCCUGGAACUGAGACACGUUCCAGACUCCUACGGGAUGCAGCAGUGGGGAAUAUUGGACAAUGGGCGCAAGCCUGAUCCAGCCAUACCGCGUGGGUGAAGAAGGCCUUCGGGUUGUAAAGCCCUUUUGUUGGGAAAGAAAUCCAGCUGGUUAAUACCCGGUUGGGAUGACGGUACCCAAGAAUAAGCACCGGCUAACUUCGUGCCAGCCGCCGCGGUAA